UACAGAGGUGGCAAGCGUUGUUCGGAAUUACUGGGCGUAAAGGGCGAGUAGGUGGCCAUCUAAGUCAGACGUGAAAUCCCCCGGCUUAACCUGGGAACUGCGUCUGAUACUGGACGGCUUGAGUAUGGGAGAGGGAUGUAGAAUUCCAGGUGUAGCGGUGAAAUGCGUAGAUAUCUGGAGGAAUACCGGUGGCGAAGGCAGCCCCCUGGGCUAGUACUGACGCUCAUGCACGAAAGCGUGGGGAGCAAACAGG
rnacentral:rRNA from 1 species